UUCCGGUUGAUCCUGCCGGACCUGACUGCUAUCGGAUUGGUACUAAGCCAUGUGAGUCGUUGUAGCAAUACAAGGCAUACGGCUCAGUAACACGUAGUCAAUCUAACCUAUGGACGGGGAUAACCUCGGGAAACUGAGGAUAAACCCCGAUAGAUCAUAAUGCCUGGAACGGUUUAUGGUCCAAAUGAUUCGUCGCCGUAGGGUGGGACUGCGGCCUAUCAGCUUGUUGGUGAGGUAAUGGCCCACCAAGGCUAUUACAGGUACGGGCUCUGAGAGGAGAAGCCCGGAGAUGGGUACUGAGACACGGACCCAGGCCCUAUGGGGCGCAGCAGGCGAGAAACCUUUGCAAUGUGCGCAAGCACGACAAGGUUAAUCCGAGUGUUUCCUGUUAAAGGAAUCUUUUGUUAGUUUUAAAAUCACUAUUGAAUAAGGGGUGGGCAAGUUCUGGUGUCAGCCGCCGCGGUAAAACCAGCACCUCAAGUGGUCAGGAUGAUUAUUGGGCCUAAAGCAUCCGUAGCCUGUUCUGUAAGUUUCCGGUUAAAUCCAUUAGCUCAACUAAUGGGCUGCCGAAAAUACUGCAAAACUAGGGAGUGGGAGAGGUAGACGGUACUCGGUAGGAAGGGGUAAAAUCCUUUGAUCUAUUGAUGACCCCCUGUGGCGAAGGCGGUCUACCAGAACACGUUCGACGGUGAGGGAUGAAAGCUGGGGGAGCAAACCGGAUUAGAUACCCGGGUAGUCCCAGCUGUAAACGAUGCAGACUCGGUGAUGCGCUGGCUUGUGGCCAGUGCAGUGCCGCAGGGAAGCCGUUAAGUUUGCCGCCUGGGAAGUACGUACGCAAGUAUGAAACUUAAAGGAAUUGGCGGGGGAGCACCACAAGGGGUGAAGCCUGCGGUUCAAUUGGAUUCAACGCCGGG
rnacentral:rRNA from 1 species